GGACCCCUGAGGAAGAAAUUGAGGCGCCAUAUCAGAGUCCGAAGAUGAGGAGUUGGAAAGUGAUGAUUCAUUGGCAAGUACAGAGGAUUCUGAUACUGAUGAUUAAAUGGAUGAGGUUUGCUCAGAAGAGGAAGACACUUUCGUGCAGUUACACAAUGAAAAAGAUCCAACUUUUGUUACGGUAUGAGAUUUGAAUUUAUGGUGUUUAAUGAUUUUUCAAAAAAUUUCUUUUGGCGCGAUGAAACAGAAAGAGACUUGCAGUUGAUAAUAUGGAUUGGGGUACAGUAAAGGUUUUCGGUUUCAACGGCACCCAACGCAGUGAAGAACCAACAAACUAGAGGAAAUCUUCAAGUUUUCAAUUAUCCUGACAGGUAAAAUUUAUAUUUGAUUAAUAAAACUAUGAGACAUAUGAAUUCCGAUUAGUUUCUUAUUAAUUUUUUUUUUUUUUUGUGAGAUUGUUUGUUCUUUAUUUUUUUGUCAUUUGUGUUUGUUUAGGGUUUCAAUAGUUUGUCCUUCUAUUGUGGGGGCAUAUCUUAUUUCUUCUUCUGCUUGACAAGUGCUGAAGAGGGUGCUAUUAAUUCCCCAUAUUUAUUUCUUCAACUUUGUCCGCUGGAAUCAUUCUUGCAGUUCAUUUUCAUGAAUGGUAUAGUCCUAUUAUGCCUCGAACAAGAAUUUGCAACUUUAGUCUCUGUCUUCAAUUUAUUUUUUGAGGUUCUUGAAAUAAGAGCAACAUGUUUGAUUAACAACAUGAAAUCGAAGCUUCUCAUGCAUUCCGUUACGAUCGAUUUUAACCUCUCGCUUUGAAACCGUUUACUAUAUAUCUUCCUCAAUUUUCGCCACGUUAUUGUUUGAUUUUCAUGUUGACUUAUUAAUAUUAUGAAUUUUGUUAUCUGCGUAAAUGUAUUUUUUGAAGAAUAUAUUGUUUUAAUAGGCUGGAUAAGUUAUAUAGAAUGACAAGCAUCUACCUCAUUCUGUUGGAAAAUCUUCAACUGGAAAGGUAAGCUACAUAAGAUAUAUCUUAUGAGCAUGUGUCUUACUCUCAGUGCAAUAAUAUAUACAUAGCCAUUCAAAUUUUGACUUAUGUGAACUUGAAUUUUUUCUAUCGAAACAAAAGGAAAACAAGCCCCAGAUAGGCAAUCCAGUUGAAAAAAAUUGAUGUCAUUAAGAUUUGAUUCAUUGCGGCAGCCUUUAUCAACUCUACGAGAAAACUAACAUGUGUGUAGAUACCACUAGAAGUAGCAAGAGCCUUUUUGCUUUCCCGGCUUGCUGUAAUUUCAUUUUCAUUUCAGUUUUCUUCUUGGUGGACCUCCUUCUUAUUCCUAUUAGUUAAUAGUUGAAUGUUGUAUAUUUUCAAAUACUCAAGAAAAUACUUAGGAAAACUAUUUAACUUUUUCCUUCAUUUUUUUUUCUCUGAUGGAAUCACCCUCCAUGCCCCCUUGCCAGGCAUCAGGGUCUUAGUUAUGAAAUUAAUAUAACUACAUAAGAAAUAAGAAUAUUAGCCACAACAUAAAUAUAAUGUUAAUUGGGACUUGGGACUUGGGAGGAACACAGAAAACUAACCCGUGAUAUUUUCAUAAGGUGACGUUAAUAAAGAUGGAGUUUUGGGUCACAGGGAGUUUGUAGCCAUUUUAGUCCACCUAAGAAAGAUGACAUAUAAGGAGCACCUGCAGAAGGCGUUCGAAUUUUUCGAUAAGAACCAAAAUGACUAUAUAGAGAUUGAGGAGUUAAGGGAGGCCUUACAUGAUGAGAUUGAGAACAGCAGCGAAGAAGUUAUCAAUGCUAUUAUGCAAGAUGUAGACACUGCAAAGGUCAGUGAUAUACUUUUAUACUAAACCAAGAUACUAUGGUCGUUUCUAAGACUAGACAAGGGCGAGGCUAUGAACUGGAAUAGAAGAAGACUAAGAUUGAUGGUGGAAGCGAACAUGGAAUUCUCUGGAACCAGUUUAAAUACUUAUACAUCCGAACUUUUAAAUCAAACAAGUUUUACAUAUCCUGUGAUGGUCGGUAGUUUAUGGACGGUGAGCUCAAUUGGUUGAACGUUUUUGUUUAAUUGUUAUUGAUUCUUGCAGUUUCUAUUCUUUUAAACCAGCAGUUUGUCAUUACUUAUAACCAAGUGUUCUGCUGUUUUCUUCCCAUUUGUCAUCAUCAUGUUUUCCUGUUAGUAGUUUUAGAAUACCAAACUUUUUGUAUUUGCUCACUUUUUUCCCUUCACGUUUAUUUACUUCUUGCAAAGGAAAGAUUUUCCAUUAGAGGGCAUAAGGUACAUUAAGAUUCUCUUUAUGAAUUCAUAACUUAUUCAUUUCUUCAAUAUAUAUAUUCAACAUUAUCCAAGGCUUUGUUACUUGCCCUUCUUGUGGCUUGAUAGUACAAUUUGGGUGUUAGCCAUGAGACUCACUUUUCAAUUUUAUGUCCAAAAAAGUGAUGAUGGAUUUUCCUAGAAGCCCCCCUAAAAAGUACUACUGAUCUGUAAGCUUACAUAUUUAUCUAUUUUUGCACGGAUUUGCAGUUUUACAUUUAUCGGUUCUUGUAUUUGAUGUGCACCUCUUGUAUAUGUGGUGCUUCGAUUAUGAAUUUAUUUGAAUGAGUCUUUAGAUUAAAUUUAAACUUCUUGCUAUUGUUAAACAGUCACUUGAGUCAAGUCAUUAUGCAAGUUCAAAAAAGUAUAAUGGCUCGAUGACAACUCUAGAAUUCACUGGGACGAAUCAAAUUAGCCUUUUAGCCGAGGUUUUUGCAGGGCUAUCAGCUACACAGUGCAACAUAUCUGAAGCUAAAUUGCUGAAUCACUAUGGUCGAAUUGCCUCCUUAAUUUAUGUAAAGAAAAACAAUUCGAGGGGUCCCAUUGAGGGCUCUGAUAAAAAGAUUGACAGAAUUGAAGCCCAUUUUAGGUGUGUUCAAGGGGGAUAAUGAUUGUCGAAGUUGAUAAAACAUUAGUAUUUAUGGUUGUCACACAAACAAAAAGAAGACUUCACCAAAUGAAGCUUGCGGAUCGUGAUUAUGGAAGGAAGCCAGUGGUUAGGAUUAGCAAUGAUACCACGAUUGUAUCAGUUUUGAACUGUUUGGAAAAGGGCUGCUCGGUCAUAAAUAUUCGAUGAAAAGCUCAAACUAAGAUUCUAUUUGAUGUCGUUUGCACGUUAACAAACAGUUCUACUACUUCAGGAUACAACAAAGUACUUAAUGUGGGGUAGCACACUCUUCUACAAACUGGUACACUAUUGCAGCAGUUCAUUAUGGUGGUUGAAGAAAAAAGUUUUCACUAUAUCGGGAAUAUAAGGGGAAAAAAUCUUGGGGCUGAUCUUUUUCCUGGAUUGAUGGAUGUCCAAUGUCAUUCUAAUUGUUCAAUGGUAGGAAAAUUCUAUUAUCUACCUUCGUCACACACUGGAAGCCUUGAUUUAUGGGUACAAAAUUGUCAAGAUGUAAUGAUAAUUUUUAGGUUGUCUGGAAAUUCAGACUUCCUUUCACUUGAGAUUGCAUUCAUUAAUUACUUUAUCUUCCUUUUUUUUUUCUUCCUAUUUUCAUAAGUGUAACUUCCUUAUUGAACCAGUUGACGAUUUUUUGGAAAGAAUUAUGUUAGAAUACAUCACUAUUGUUUAGC